GGCUGGGGCCACCCAGGCAACCGAUAUACACAGAGAACCACGUGGAGGAAAAGCACGCGAGUUUGGAGCGGGUGGAGCAGGAACAGAGGUGGACUGGAAUGUCACACGACGGGGCAGCUGGAAGGGCACCACUGAGUUCAGUACUUCAAAAUUGCCGUGCUCUACCUCUCCCCAGUGCACAAAAACACUCUCCACACCAAGCUGCUGCUGCUGGGGGAUGGAGGGAUGGCGUCAGCGAUUCAAGACUGUUUUUCCUACCUGUUCAGCACUUCUUUCAGCGAUAUGAAGUUAAAUCCAGAGUCACACAGGCUAGAGUGCAGUGGCAUGAUCUCAGCUCCCCACAACCUCUGCCUCCGAUGUUCAAGCGAUUCUCCUGUCUCAGCCUCCUGAGUAGCUGGAAUUACAGGGCAUGCUUUCUCGCCUGCCGGCCUUCCACCAUGGGAUGAAGCAGCAAGAAGGCUCUUGCCAGAGGCAGACCCCUCGACCUUGGACUUCCCAGCCCCCAGAACUGUAAGAAAUAAAUCUCUCUUCUUUA
rnacentral:lncRNA from 1 species